UUAGGGAUCAAAUCCACAGAGACUCUAGGAUUACACAAUAGAUUAUGGUCUUUGAAAUAGGCUAGAUUAAUUGGUUUAUAGGAUUUAAAGCAGUAAAUGAAUUGGUGAGCAAGGUUAUUGCUCGAUUGGUUUUUUUGAGGUUGUUAACAUUUAGGAGAAUAGACAUAUUCAGGUAUAUUCUCAGGUAUGAUAAGUAAAUACCUAAUUUGGGUUUUUAAGGGUUUAUUGAUAUUAAUUGUUCUUGAAUUCAAACUAAAAUAUAAUCAAUCUGAUUAUCUAAUCUGGAUCUCGGAUUUCAACUAUCGUAUGUUAAUCGCGAGAAAGUGUCGAUCGAUGAUUUGUUAAGAACAUCGAUCGAUACACCUUUCAAAACAUCGAUCAACAGAACUAUCGCUGCGUCGAUCGAUG
rnacentral:lncRNA from 1 species